GGUGCAAGCUCUUGAUCGAAGCCCCGGUAAACGGCGGCCGUAACUAUAACGGUCCUAAGGUAGCGAAAUUCCUUGUCGGGUAAGUUCCGACCCGCACGAAUGGCGUAACGAUGGCCACACUGUCUCAACCCGAGACUCAGCGAAGUUGAAAUGUUUGUGAAGAUGCAAUCUCCCCGCUGCUAGACGGAAAGACCCCGUGAACCUUUACUGUAGCUUUGCAUUGGACUUUGAACAGGCUUGUGUAGGAUAGGUGGGAGGCUUUGAAGCUGAGACGCUAGUUUCAGUGGAGCCGUCCUUGAAAUACCACCCUGGUGUGUUUGAGGUUCUAACCUGGGUCCAUCAUCUGGAUCGGGGACCGUGCAUGGUAGGCAGUUUGACUGGGGCGGUCUCCUCCCAAAGUGUAACGGAGGAGUUCGAAGGUUACCUAGGUACGGUCGGACAUCGUACUGAUAGUGCAAUGGCAAAAGGUAGCUUGACUGCGAGACCGACAAGUCGAGCAGGUGCGAAAGCAGGACAUAGUGAUCCGGUGGUUCUGAAUGGAAGGGCCAUCGCUCAACGGAUAAAAGGUACUCCGGGGAUAACAGGCUGAUUCCGCCCAAGAGUUCAUAUCGACGGCGGAGUUUGGCACCUCGAUGUCGGCUCAUCACAUCCUGGGGCUGUAGCCGGUCCCAAGGGUAUGGCUGUUCGCCAUUUAAAGUGGUACGUGAGCUGGGUUUAAAACGUCGUGAGACAGUUUGGUCCCUAUCUGCAGUGGGCGUUGGAAGUUUGAGGGGGGCUGCUCCUAGUACGAGAGGACCGGAGUGGACGCAUCUCUGGUGUACCGGUUGUGACGCCAGUCGCAUCGCCGGGUAGCUAUAUGCGGAAGAGAUAAACGCUGAAAGCAUCUAAGCGUGAAACUCGCCUCAAGAUGAGACUU
rnacentral:rRNA from 1 species